ACGGAAUAGAUACCCUGGUAGUCCACGCCCUAAACGAUGUCUACUAGUUGUCGGGGAUUCAUUUCCUUGGUAAACGCAGCUAAACGCGUGAAGUAGACCGCCUGGGGAGUACGGCCGCAAGGUUAAAACUCAAAGGAAUUGACGGGGACCCGCACAAGCGGUGGAUGAUGUGGAUUAAUUCGAUGCAACGCGAAAAACCUUACCUACGCUUGACAUGCCAGGAACUUUCCAGAGAUGGAUUGGUGCCCGAAAGGGAACCUGGACACAGGUGCUGCAUGGCUGUCGUCAGCUCGUGUCGUGAGAUGUUGGGUUAAGUCCCGCAACGAGCGCAACCCUUAUCCUUAGUUGCUACGCAAGGGCACUCUAGGGAGACUGCCGGUGACAAACCGGAGGAAGGUGGGGAUGACGUCAAGUCCUCAUGGCCCUUAUGUGUAGGGCUUCACACGUCAUACAAUGGUCGGUACAGAGGGUCGCCAACCCGCGAGGGGGAGCCAAUCCCAGAAAACCGAUCGUAGUCCGGAUUGCAGUCUGCAACUCGACUGC
rnacentral:rRNA from 1 species